UACGGAGGGUGCAAGCGUUAAUCGGAAUUACUGGGUCGUAAAGCGUGCGUAGGCGGUUCGUUAAGUCUGUUGUGAAAGCCCCGGGCUCAACCUGGGAAUGGCAAUGGAUACUGGCGAGCUAGAGUGUGUCAGAGGAUGGUGGAAUUCCCGGUGUAGCGGUGAAAUGCGUAGAGAUCGGGAGGAACACCAGUGGCGAAGGCGGUUGCCUGGAGCUUUGCUGACGCUGAGGUGCGAAAGCGUGGGGAGCAAACAGG
rnacentral:rRNA from 1 species